AGCAAAAAGUACAACGAUGGGUUCGAAAAAGGUUAUUGAUCGCGAAUACAUUCAAAGAGUUCUUUUCAUUCCUAUUGCUAUAAUAGCCAUAAUAUCUAUUAUCUUAGUUUUUUUUGGUUAUUUCUGGUUCUAUCAACAUACAAAAGUAUAGUUUUUUCCGCUCUGAAAAUGAAAAACAAGCACAAGUCCAGUUUAACAACAAACUACAGUUACAAGUAACUUCCAUUAAUGAUAACUUGGGUACAAUUCAAAAUUUUAUGGUGAAAAUUUUUAAAGACUUGAAAGACCAAAAG
rnacentral:lncRNA from 1 species